GUCAAAUGAGAUUCAGAUUGCAAAAAAUAGGCUAAUAGAGAUGAAGAAUGAGAAGGGACAACUUGGAAAAGAAGUAGGCGAUCUAGUACUACAACUGCAAGUUACAAAAGAACAGGAAUCGGCAUUGAGAGAGAAGGUUGAACGACUAGAGGUUAAGGUGAGGAAUGAUGAAAAGGAGAAAGAGAAGUUAACUAAAGCUGUGAGCCAAUUGGAGAAAAAGGUGGCAGUGUUGGAGACAAUGAUGAAAGAGAAGGACCAAGGUAUAUUAGACCUGGGCGAGGAAAAGAGGGAGGCUAUAAGGCAGCUGUGCCUCUGGAUUGAUUAUCACAGGAGUCGCUGUGAUUAUCUCAGAGAA
rnacentral:misc_RNA from 1 species